UGGCGGUAAAAAUUCAGUUGAUACAAUUAAAAAUAUUUUGCUCUUAAUGCAGCAUGAAUGGUCUAAAGAAGAAAACAAAUUUUAAAAAGUUGACAAGUCUAUGUAUCGCUAUCACAGAUGUUGCCUCAAAGUCAAAUAAAAGCUUAACCAAAAUGGAUCUCAUGUAACUUAUUGGAAGAUUAAUUAGGCAUUCUUCUGACCAAUUCAAGAGAAAAUCUACCAAUAUCGAUAUUGAUCAAUGAUGGCUUAAUUAACUUCAAUCAACUGUUGUGUUUUUUAUUUAUUUUGCAUUUUUCAGUAAUUUUCUUUUUACUUAUAAUAUACUAUCGAUUAUACUUUACAAAAUAUAUUAGUUUUUAGUUUGGA